AGUAGGGGCAUGUCUUCUAAACAGUGAGCAGCCAGUUGCUGUAAACUUUUCUCAUGAUGUGUAAUUUGACUCAUAGCACUCUGGUUGGUUGCUUUCAAUCAACCACUCAGAAAGUUAUGAGUCAAAUUACACAGCAUGGGAAAAUUCAAAAGAACUUCCUCACACUGUGUAAAAUUACUCAGAGAACUCUGAUUGGUUGGAUUCCAAGCUAACCAAUCAGAGUGCUGUGACAGAUAAAUGUAGAGACUUACCUGUCAGUAAAAUUACUCAGAGCACAGGCUGCUCACUGUUUAGUAGACAUGCCCCUACU